AUUGAACGCUGGCGGCAUGCCUUACACAUGCAAGUCGAACGGCAGCACGGGAGCAAUCCUGGUGGCGAGUGGCGAACGGGUGAGUAAUAUAUCGGAACGUGCCCAGUCGUGGGGAUAACGUAGCGAAAGCUACGCUAAUACCGCAUACGAUCUAUGGAUGAAAGCGGGGGAUCGCAAGACCUCGCGCGAUUGGAGCGGCCGAUAUCAGAUUAGGUAGUUGGUGAGGUAAAGGCUCACCAAGCCGACGAUCUGUAGCUGGUCUGAGAGGACGACCAGCCACACUGGGACUGAGACACGGCCCAGACUCCUACGGGAGGCAGCAGUGGGGAAUUUUGGACAAUGGGCGCAAGCCUGAUCCAGCAAUGCCGCGUGCAGGAUGAAGGCCUUCGGGUUGG
rnacentral:rRNA from 1 species